rnacentral:rRNA from 1 species
UACGUAGGGUGCGAGCGUUAAUCGGAAUUACUGGGCGUAAAGCGUGCGCAGGCGGUUCGCCAAGUCAGGGGUGAAAUCCCCGGGCUUAACCUGGGAAUUGUGCUUGAAACUAGCGGGCUUGAGUGUGGCAGAGGGGGGUGGAAUUCCACGUGUAGCAGUGAAAUGCGUAGAGAUGUGGAGGAACACCGAUGGCGAAGGCAGCCCCCUUGGUCAACACUGACGCUCAUGCACGAAAGCGUGGGGAGCAAACAGG